rnacentral:pre_miRNA from 1 species
CUGGCUGACCCACAGCAGUUCUUCACUGGCAAGCUUUAUGUUCUCGUGCACCAGCUAAAGCUGCCAGCUGAAGAACUGUUGUGGUCGGCUCUU